rnacentral:rRNA from 1 species
GUAGGGAAUUUUCCGCAAUGGGCGAAAGCCUGACGGAGCAACGCCGCGUGAGUGAGGACGGCCUUCGGGUUGUAAAACUCUGUUCUUGAGGAAGAAUUCCUUCCAGGCGAACAGCCUGGAAGGUUGACGGUACUCAAGGAGAAAGCCCCGGCUAACUACGUGCCAGCAGCCGCGGUAAUACGUAGGGGGCGAGCGUUAUCCGGAAUUAUUGGGCGUAAAGCGCGCGCAGGCGGCCGAUUAAGUCAGGUGUGAAAGGCUGCGGCUCAACCGCAGAGCGGCACCUGAAACUGGUCGGCUUGAGUGCAGGAGAGGGGAGCGGAAUUCCCGGUGUAGCGGUGGAAUGCGUAGAGAUCGGGAGGAACACCAGUGGCGAAGGCGGCUCUCUGGCCUGUAACUGACGCUGAGGCGCGAAAGCGUGGGGAGCAAACAGGAUUAGAAACCCCAGUAGUCC